UGUCGCAAUAUAUGGUUUUUGUUCGUCGAUAGAAAUUAAUAAGCUGUAAAAUCGCGGUUUGUACGUCUGCAAUGGUUCUGGAAGCGAUUGGUUGAACAAUUGAAAAUUUUGAUAAUUUGUCUACACAAGUCAAGUACGACGUCGGUUUUUUUUAACAAGUCCAGUCCAAUUAUUCCGUCAAACGUUGUUAAGUUCGUGUUGUACCCAUGGA